ACACGCGCAUAAAUCAUGAAUUUCAUCAAAUUUCGUGAAAUGGAUAGAUAACCCAAAGGUUGUAGCAAGCAAUAAUUUUUUUUCCUUCAAACGCUAAACCAGUCCCAGUAAUUCAGCAGAGAAGAACCCUAAUUUCCUUAACACUCUGUUCUAACAAGAAUGUGUGUUUAGGAUAUGACAAAAAGUUCAUCAUCGAAAGGAAACGGUCAAGAUCAGCCUGAAACAAGUGGAACCACACUCAAACCAGAGAGAACCAAAAUUAGCAAAGCCGAGGGCACUGAAAAGAAGUUGAUGUCCUCAACAGGAUGUUUGAGAAGGUUCUGGAGAGAGAUCAUAUUUAGUGUGUCAAUGCUGGGUGUGAUGAGAUAAAUGGAUCCCUGUCCUGAGUGUAUCAGGCCCUUUGUUCAUGAUAGGGAUAAUUUUUCUGACCAUUUAAUUGCAAAGUUUGUGACAAUAUCAGGGCCGCUGUUUAAUAUGUUGAAGAGUUUAUUUACUUAAAGAUUAUCAUGCUAAAGUAGUGAUUUA